rnacentral:rRNA from 1 species
AUUGAACGCUGGCGGCAUGCCUUACACAUGCAAGUCGAACGGCAGCGGGCCUUCGGGUGCCGGCGAGUGGCGAACGGGUGAGUAAUGCAUCGGAACGUGCCAUUGAGUGGGGGAUAACGUAGCGAAAGUUACGCUAAUACCGCAUAUUCUGUGAGCAGGAAAGCAGGGGACCGCAAGGCCUUGCGCUCUUUGAGCGGCCGAUGUCAGAUUAGCUAGUUGGUGAGGUAAAGGCUUACCAAGGCGACGAUCUGUAGCGGGUCUGAGAGGAUGAUCCGCCACACUGGAACUGAGACACGGUCCAGACUCCUACGGGAGGCAGCAGUGGGGAAUUUUGGACAAAUGGGCGCAAGCCUGAUCCAGCCAUGCCGCGUGAGUGAAGAAGGCCUCGGUUGGUAAAGACUCUUUCGGCCGGGAGGAAAUACGCAUGGGUU